CAGCAGCCGCGGGAAUACGGAGGAUCCAAGCGUUAUCCGGAAUCAUUGGGUUUAAAGGGUCCGUAGGCGGUCUUGUAAGUCAGUGGUGAAAGCCCAUCGCUCAACGGUGGAACGGCCAUUGAUACUGCAGGACUUGAAUUAUUGGGAAGUAACUAGAAUAUGUAGUGUAGCGGUGAAAUGCUUAGAGAUUACAUGGAAUACCAAUUGCGAAGGCAGGUUACUACCAAUUGAUUGACGCUGAUGGACGAAAGCGUGGGUAGCGAACAGGAUUAGAUACCCCUGUAGUCCCUGUCUCUUAUAU
rnacentral:rRNA from 1 species